UAAUCACCAUAAAUCAAAGCUAAAAAUGUAGGAACCAAACAGCAACCACGCAAAAGCUAAUCUUAGCCACUACAAGCUCAGCCAUUUCAAAGAAUUAAUUUACAAGUACUACCGAUGCAAAUAAGGUGUAUGCACAGCAGCAGAAGAGCAGAAAUUAGCAGCAAGCAGAUGCUAACAUAUCAACAAACAGGUAUGUGCCCACCCAUUGUAGACUUGGGCAGCUUGCCGCCAUGUGAUCCACUACUGGGUUUAAAAGCUUAUGGCCCACAGAGAAGGGCAUAGUAUACAAUUUCCCACUGAACCCCAUCACAAGCGCACAUCACACUAUCUGGGUGCUGCAUCCUAAACAUGUCAGACACAGAAGAUGCCACAUAUGAGGAAGAACGAGAGGAGGAUAUUGUUG